rnacentral:lncRNA from 1 species
GAUGAUCCAUGGAGCUUUUAACCCAUGGAUCCUUGGAAAAGGAAAGGUCAUGGGUUAUUAGGGUUUCACCCUAAUCAUGUACACUAUAUAAGCAUGCUUAUGUUGCAUGAAAUGGCCACUAGAGUGACUAGUGUUACUAGAGUAUGUGUGUUUGUGUGUGACCGAUUUUACAAGUGUGUGUACACUCUCUCAAAGUUUUCCAAGAGUUUGUGGUGAUUUGUGAUUCCAUUUGAGGCAUUCACACUAUUGGUGCUUGGCCCUCAAACUCCUUAGGAAUCAAACUCAUCAUCAAAAGGUAUGUAAUCUCAUCUAAUUCUUUUAUGUUUAAAAGUACCCCAUGCCAUGUUAGAUAGGUUAUGAACCUUGGAAAAUUAUUAUUUUGCAUGUAUUUAGACAAACAUAGAUCCAAGGUUUAUUAGGGUUGCAUGCACACUUAGGAAGUGUUAGAUUGCUCAAAACCCAACAGUGGUAUCAGAGCCUAGGCUUGCUUGUUUGAUACUUGAUGCAAAAUAGUGAAAAAAGUUGAAAUUGUUGUUGUCUGGCUGAUGGACUCGCCGAGUCCAUGGGGGGACUCGCCGAGUUCAAGGCAAAAUUCAUCCUACUCGGCGAGUAGGUUCGUGCACUCGGCGAGUAGAAUGAUCAGAAUGCAGAAUUUCGACUUUUGCUGCUGGAAAUGGACUAGAAACAUUACCCUAAACUGUUUUGGUGUUUUAAAACUUGUUUUAGUUGGUGUAAUGGUUGUUCUAAUCCAUUUACAAUAGCAUAUAUCAAAAUUCCAUGAUUUUUAUGUGUUCAUAUAAUUCUUGAAAUUUUGAUGAUCAUGUUCAUGUUCUUAUGAAUUUAGAAGAUGAUAGGAAUUAUUUGCUGAAUUGUUUAGAAUUAAUUCUUGAUCAUUUAUGUGUUUUAAUGGAGUCCAUAAUUUGUCCUCAAGUUAUGGAUAUCCAAAGGUCACUUUUCUUUAACACACACUUAAACACAUAAGUUACAUGAAAAUGAAGAGUCUUCAUUUUUAUGAACCUUUAAUUCAUAAGUUAUGAAAUGAAAAGUUUUGGAUAGUUACAAAACUUGCCCUCAAGUUUUGGAAUUUGUAAAGUUUCACACACUUUAAUAAACUUUAAUUCCAACCCUUAGAGUUUUAAUAGUUAAAAUUCAACCCUUAUACUAUUUAUAACAUUAAUGGUUAAUUAUUAUAUAUAUGUAUAAGAAUAAGUCGUUCUACCGUUAGUAGGCCUCAUUCACGAAGCCGGUCUAUAAGGUGGGUAUAAGGUUGUUGCCUAUAAAAUGGCGACUUAAUGGGUGUCCACUCUCACCCACCGCUUGCUUGACUGGUGGAGGGUCGUUAGCCGAACGGGUAGGACAAUGACUUUAAAUUCUCAUUAAAAGUAUAAUGAUUAUUAUAAAGUAACUAAAUAUUUUUUAUUUAAUUCCCAAUCUUAGUUACUUUAGGAAAAAUGUGAAUUUGGUGCUAGCCCAUGGAAUUCACACUUUGUACCUUACCAAGUCGUUGGUGGAGCGUGUGUGGUUAACCGGCACACUAACUUGGACUAGUAAGGAUCACGAAGGGUGACUUAAUGUUUGUCAUAGAUCAAUGGAGCGUGUGUGGUUAACCGGCACAUUGAUUAGGUGAUAAUAUUAAGGGUACCAAGUGAAUUGGUAUGGUUAUUCACACCUUGUUUUGUGAUCCUCGGCAUCCCAGUCACAAAAUUUGAGAGGGCACACUCGAGAUUGAAACAUGCCAUUGAAAAGUUCAAUGAAUCUCAAAAGAUCUAGGAAUUUCAAAUCCAAUUAAAACCUAAUAAAUUAUUUCGUUUUUCAUGGUGGAAAUUGGUGAAUCGUCAUUCGCCUACCUUCAAAUAUUUUAUAGCUUGGAUUACGGCAUCCCUCUUCCAAAUUAUAAAAUAUUGUGUUGGGUCCUAGCCUUAAUAUUUCAUAUUGGGUGUUAUAUUAAGGACUUUGAAUCAACUAACUUGAUUUUCUCCCAUUAUAGAUGUCUGGUUCAGACAACUAUGAUCUUCCCAAAUCUCUUGAAGAUGGUGUCCCUCAACAUCAUGCUUCACUUCCUCCACCUCCUCCAAUUAUUCUCCCUCACCCACAAGUUCUUGAAAAGUUUAAAGUCACUCAAUCCCUAUUGGCAAGCAUAGUCUAUGUGUGCUCACAUCUUGGAGAUAAAGUCACAUAUUGACAAGCCGGGAGAGUUGGGUGUCAAAGUCUCGUGAAAGUUGGAUGUUCAAUCACUUUCUUAGUAACAUAGUGAGUCUCUUUGGGACUACUAUGAGACAGACUAUGACAUGACCCUUAAUGAUGUUAUCUAUUUGCUUGGUGUUGUGGAAUCAGCAAUGAUUUGGAACACCAGUAAAGCAAAUUUGAUUAAAAGAACAACUUCCCAAGUCUUAAAUGGACAUUGACAAUGGUAGCAUUGGAUAUCUAGAAAAGGAUUUCUCUUCCCAAUGGAAAGGGAUCGGCCAUAGUCAACUCGGUUGACCAAAUGGUAAAGAGAAAGGCUAAGUCUGAGAUAGUCUCAUGUGCCAUUACCAAAGGGUCCAUGUGUUUUGUUGCCAAAGGAAGGGGCAUUGGUUGCGAAGCUGCCCUAUUCACCUGAAAGGUCAUAAGGUUGAUCAAGUCAAGAGGUUUGACUCUACUUCGGGUAAAGUCCACUGUCUAACUCUAUUAAGUUCCUAUUUGGAGAUUCUUAUUACAUAAUGUGAAUGGGUCACAUGCUGAUGUUUUUAAGAAUCAAAGAAAAGAUAGGAAGCUUAAAAUAAGUAUAGGUUGAUUCUGAUUGCAAAGGUGGGUUUCAAUCGCAUGGUUCGGCAAUCAGAAUUUUGAGCUGUUGCUUAAGAGUUAUAAUAUAUUGCUUAUGAAUAGAUAACAACAAGGUUUUCAUGUGGAUUGUAAGGAUAAGUUUUUCCGCAAAGUUUUAAAAAAAAAAAAAAAAAGGGUUUUAAUUUUAUUUAUUUUAAAAAUAUCCUUACAAUGGCAUCUGUGGAAAAUUGUUGCUUAUAUGUUUCCAGUAAUAGCAAUAUUGGAAAGUGGAUUUGAUUCUUUCAUUUGUGGUAGUGUCUGAAUUUACCAAAUGAAGAAAGUUUUUCAUCACCCAAGUUUCAAUUGGACAGAAACUUGGAAUCAUACAAGUUGUAUUGUAUGAUGAAUGAGAAUUUUCAUCUUUGAAAAUUAAGACUAAUUCUUUGAUCACAUGUAUAUGUGAGUCAAUUGAAGGACUAAGGAAUUAGGUACACUGGGUGUGCGCUGGUCAAGGUCCACCACAAAGAUUGAUUUGUCAUGAUUUACUAAAGAUUAGUAAAUAUGAUUAUACUUAUGAGGUUAAGUAUAAUUCUGUAACAUUGGAAAGGUUACAAUGUAUGACAAAACAAAUGAGAAGAAUCAAAUUAGGCAGAAAGAUAAAAGUUUCUCAAAUCUGAAAGGAUGGGAGAGUACUUUAGUAUCGUAUUUCAUGAUCAUCUUAAUGAUUAUGAAACCAUAUCACAAAUUCAUACUCUAAGGACGUCUUAGUGCAUUGUUAUGGCUAAGAAGAGAGGUCAUGAAUUGUUGGAUUGGUUAAAAUCAAGAAGAUGAGUCAUACUUCGUUCCAAAACAAUUCUUAGAGUCAUACUCCAAGAUUGUAACUUUGAGUGACAUAAAGGAAGAUUUAUUAACACUAGUCAAAUGUAAGAGUAAAAUGUUUUCUACUCUUGUACAUUUGAGAUUGGUAAGUUGUGAUGUCUUGGAUGAGACAAAGACCAACUAAGACCAAUUGUGUGAAGUGUUAGUCUUGAUAAGAAUCCGCACUAUCCCUUGAAUAUUUGUUUUGUCAAGGAAUGGUUCUUGACUGGGGAAACUUAUAUGUCAAGGGGACAGUGGGAGCCUUAAAGAUCCUGAAAGAGUUUCAAGAUUUAAUCAAGAGUAAAACCUGUAAUUUAUCACUAGCACACGACUUAAGGUUUGCAACCUAUCGUGUUGACAUAAUUCUUAUUUCUGUACCUACUUCAAAUAAGUUGAAUUUGCAUGUGAGUUAUCAGAGUUCAACUUGGAAGCAUUGGUGGGCCUUGUGCUACCAAGGUGACAAGAAACUAAGAUUGAACAAGUUUAAUCCAUGUAAGGCUGAAUUUGUCACUAACCUUAUCUUGUGAUUAUGGUUUUGACAAAUUCACAUGGAUAGGAACUCAUACACUAUAAAAUCUAAGUGUCAUAAGGUUUCUCUCCGAUUCAUGAAAAUGAUGGUGAGGAAACGCUUUCACUAAGUAGAUUUUACGUAGAUAUCAAUUGUGUUAUUUGCAUUUUCAAAAGUCGUUAGUGGAGCGCGUGUGGUUAACCGGCACACUAACAUGGACUUGUGAGAAAUGGCAAAUGCCUAAGCAAUUGAGACUAUGAUUACGGCAUCCCUUUUCAUAGUUCUGAAAAUUGUUUAGACACACAUGUGAGCUAUCUAAGAAAGGGUGUAUGAAUCUAAAUUUCAGAAGUCCAGCAGAUUUCUGGAAAUAUGUCAGAGCUAGUGGGAGCAUAAGUGUUAUGCUGAUAAUCAUCAUGUUAGUGGGAGCAUGAUUAUUACGUUUAGUGUUGCAAGUUAGCAAUGUUAAUUAUAGAAAACAAAGUUUCAAUUCGUGAAGUUGCAGGGGUUGAAAAGUUGUUUUGCUAUAAUUAAGGGAGAGGAAAUUAUACUUCAUUUCAAUUCUAAAGCUUAGAUUGAGAUUUUAAUCAUCUUUAGUCAAGAAUAUAUAUAUGAAUUUUAUGUUGGAAUGGUUCAACUUGAAGAAAUUCUAUAUAUAUUGCGUUUUCAAAAUUCGAUUAUGAUUACGGCAUCCCUCUUCAUAGUUAAAUUUUGAAAACAUGGCAAAUAAAAAAUAUUGUAGCAAAAGACUGGUCUAGUAUCAUGUCUUUAUGUCAAACAUCAUGAAUCGUGUCCCAUAUGCUUCGGAUAUAGGAUCGAUUGCAUGUGCUAUAAUAUUCAUCUUUUCUAAAUUUUCCAAAUGCUUAAGGCAUUGAGAAGGGAAAAGUCUAGAACUGGAUAUGACUAAAGUGAUUAAGCAAUUGUCGAGGACAAUCUGAGGUUCGCCAAAGAUUGGUUGCUCAGGGAAAGUUGGAAGUAUGAUGUAAGUUGUCGGAAAGGACCAUAUUGACAUAUUCUGAAAAGAAGUAACUCUUGUUCGGAAGUGAUAGUCAAAAUGGGACUAUGGAAAUGUCUCCAUAGGUGGAAGUUAUUCAAUCUAUGUAAGAUUAGAAAACCUUAAUGCAAGAAGGAUGUUCAAAGCAAUGUACUUUGAAUAUGAGACUUCCGUUCCAUAGAAGUUGACCUUCUUUGGAAUACUCUGUAAUGACUGGUGACAAGGUUUUGGUGACUUUGUGCAUAAUCAUUACAAGAGGAACAUUGCAUAAAAGUUUAAAAUCUAACAGUUUUUUUGGUAAAUGAUAGGAAUCGGGGAUUCUCACAUUUACAAUAAGGAUUUGGGAUUGUGAAAUGAGUAUCAUUGGAAUCAUGUUCAAUUGAUCUACAUCACAAUGUAAGGAUCAUAGACAAACAUAGUGUGCAUACUUGGAGUAUGGCAUAACUAUUGUUUAGAAAAACAAAGUGUACAUGCUAGGAGCAUGGGACGACUGUUGUUUUUAUUCAAGUCUUAAGUUGAUUGUUUGAAACAUUAUACAAUGAAUAAUGUGUAAUCAAUAUGGUGAUAAAUAAAAGGUGGUUCUAUUUAUAUUCAAAAGGGUUCUGAGACCAUAUUGGAUUCGAUUAUUAUUGUGUUUCACUUUGCAUGUUUUGACUUCCAAAAUAGCUAGGUUAUUCUUUCCGAAUGACUAAGUUAUUUAAACACUCCACAGUCGUUCAUAUGUUGGAAGUAGGUAUGAAUCAAGACUGUCAUGAAUCGAGUUUGUAGAUGGCUAAAUGGGUUUAGUCAUAGCAAUGGUUGCUACAACAUUCAUGAGUGCUCAUAAGUUAUGAGUAUUGGAAUAAACCCACGCUCACUUGUAUCACUUCAUGGAAUUUAUCUCGAGUGAUCGUGAGACGGUAAUAUCAUAUAAAUCUUCAAACCUAGAGAUAUGAGUUGUUACCUAUGAGUUGGUUGUGCAUUGAUUGCACGUAAACGCAUCAGUAACUUGAUGUUAUAAAACGUGCCUUUGUGUACAAUUCAACAAGUAGUAGAACAAGCAUAUGAGUCGAAGUUUAUCUGUUCCUUCUAGAAAUAGAAGCGAUAUCUGGGCCCCUCGAUGAUUUUGUUGUGACCUAUGUACCGGCCGGUCAGAACUAAAUUGAUGUGUUCGAUUAAGUUCUUUGUCAAACAAAUCGAAAAUCGGGAAACAAACUGCUGGACAAUAAGUACGACGUUGUUCCAUGUAUUUGUCCGGCUGAUAUCAUGAGAACAGAGGAUUAUAUGAUCACUUAUCUAAAAUGGCGCUUCAUAGUUCAACAGAGUUUUCGAGAGCUACGAUUGCUGGUUGGUUCCUGAAGUAACAUACGCAAAUAUAGUUAUUAGACUUAUCCAAGUGGGAGUCUGUUGGAUAAGGUGUCUAAGUCCAUAACUUAUUUGGUAUAUACUUGACCCGACCCGGCAUGGUCCAUUUGGGUUGCAUUUCAUCCAAACUAUUUAUGGAUAAUUUUAUGAGAGUUAUACACAUAUGUUUAUUAAUAUAUUAUAAGUUAUAAUAUAUUAAUAUGAAGUCAUGUUAUUUAAUUAGUCUUAGUCUUAAAUUAAUUAUGAAUUAAUUUAGAGAUUAAAAGGAAGACUAAUUAGAUUGUGGGCUAUUGGUUUUAUAUAGUGUGGGCUAACACUCAUUUGUUAAUGGGCUAGGCUUAUAUGGAAGUCCAUGGAUGAUCCAUGGAGCUUUUAACCCAUGGAUCCUUGGAAAAGGAAAGGUCAUGGGUUAUUAGGGUUUCACCCUAAUCAUGUACACUAUAUAAGCAUGCUUAUGUUGCAUGAAAUGGCCACUAGAGUGACUAGUGUUACUAGAGUAUGUGUGUUUGUGUGUGACCGAUUUUACAAGUGUGUGUACACUCUCUCAAAGUUUUCCAAGAGUUUGUGGUGAUUUGUGAUUCCAUUUGAGGCAUUCACACUAUUGGUGCUUGGCCCUCAAACUCCUUAGGGAUCAAACUCAAUCACAUUAAAAGGUAUGUAAUCUCAU